rnacentral:misc_RNA from 1 species
UUAAGUUCAGCGGGUAUCCCUACCUGAUCCGAGGUCAAGAGUGUAAAAAUGUACUUUUGGACGUCGUCGUUAUGAGUGCAAAGCGCGAGAUGUACUGCGCUCCGAAAUCAAUACGCCGCUGCCACAUUGUUUUAAGGCGAGUCUACACGCAGAGGCGAGACAAACACCCAACACCAAGCAGAGCUUGAAGGUACAAAUGA